rnacentral:rRNA from 1 species
GAUGAACGCUGGCGGCGUGCCUAAUACAUGCAAGUCGAGCGAACAGACGAGGAGCUUGCUCCUCUGACGUUAGCGGCGGACGGGUGAGUAACACGUGGAUAACCUACCUAUAAGACUGGGAUAACUUCGGGAAACCGGAGCUAAUACCGGAUAAUAUAUUGAACCGCAUGGUUCAAUAGUGAAAGACGGCUUUGCUGUCACUUAUAGAUGGAUCUGCGCCGCAUUAGCUAGUUGGUAAGGUAACGGCCUAUCAAGGCAACGAUGCGUAGCCGACCUGAGGGGGUGAUCGGCCACACUGGAACUGAGACGCGCUCCAGACUCCUACGGGAGGCAGCAGUAGGGAAUCUUCCGCAGUGGGCGGAAGCCUGACGCAGCGACGCCGCGUGAGUGAUGAAGGUCUUCGGAUCGUAAAGCUCUGUUAUUGGUUAAGAACAGAUGUGUAAUUAACUGUGCACGUCUUGACGGUACCUAAUCAGAAAGCCACGGCUAACUACGUG